rnacentral:tRNA from 1 species
GGCGAUGUAGCUCAGUGGUAGAGCAAUGGGCUCAUAGCCCAGAGGUUGCUGGUUCAAUCCCAGCCGUCGCCA